ACAAGGGGAUGGUGGAGAACUCUACUGUACUCUUCCACCACAACUUUCUCUCACUCUGACUUCCUGUUUCUGUUGUACCUGUAAUUCAAAGGGUCAGCCUUGUCACACUGUGUCACGCUGCAUAUCCCCGAGAACUACGUUAAGGGUACACGUGCCUGUGGAGUGCUAAGCAACUUGCACGUUAAUUUCACGAGCAGGCUGUUCCGUUGAUUGGAUCAACUGGAACCCUUGACGUCAUAAGCGACGGAGUGCCAACAACAAACGUAACCGGAUUAUUUAUAGACGGGUUACAUCACUAACAAUUACACCGCCAGGACGCGUCUUUACAAAGUCAAAACUGGUGUUUAAAAUUCAGAAGAAUAUUGAAGUUACCUCCUACAGGGACUCUCCUGUGAAGCAUUUGAUGUAUGCUGAAAAGAAUUGUGUCCAAAUUAGUGCUUACUUUGAAGCCAAGAAAAAUGCUGGAAGUGCUAACAACCAGCGAGGUAUACAAAAAUACAAUGUA